UUGUGGCUCAAUGUAGCUGAACCAUCGGACCUUAUUUGUCAGCUUGGAUCACGUGAUCCAUCCAGCUGCCGCGUGCGGCAAACAGCCCAAAUAGCGCUAACUCUGGCCUGCGAGCGUUUGCUGCGACUAGCGCGCUAGCGCUCGUGACAUACACAAACGCGCUAGCCAGAAUGCUUUGACUUUGAUGGCUUUCAGCUUCUAUUUUUUGAAAAGUAGCGCGCUCAGACCAGCUCGCUCACUCUUUUCCUCUUCCAUUUUUUAGGGCAAUUGUUUUGUUUGAUAGACGAAGCUUAGGGUCUCUUUGGGUUUGCAACCCUUACCCUACUGGAAAAAAUCAUAGUUGCUAGACUGCGACACUUCAGACCAGGUACUAUUAGAGCCGCUAAUGGACGACGAGCUAUUUUCCGCUAUCCGGAGCUCAAGCAUUUGAGCCGCUAAAUGGACGAGACUCCUGGGGUAAAGGAUGCAGAGAAUGAGGAGAAAACACUCGUAUGGAGCAGGGAGUAGGUAUUGCACUACUUCCUGGUAUGGAGCACUGAGAAGCGCAAUGUGCAACAGAAAUUACCAUGGUGAUACAGUAGAUUACCGUGUGAAGCGGUGUGAGAUGCAGCAAAGCAUUAGGCGAUUUGAUCGCAGGACAAGAGAGGAGCUGAUGGACGAUCUCUCCAGUGUCCCUCUUGGUUCGGAGCAGCGCCGAGUGCUGACGUUGGGACUUGGAUCCAAGGGACUGCCAUGGGUUCGCCUGCAGCAGUGGUCUAUGCCGACAUUGUUAUGCUGUAUUUGGAGAAGCGAGUUCUAGCAUCCGUAGCUGCCUCAGGGGUGCCACUUCUCCCAUCAGCGUCGACUAGUCCGCCGAUCUCACUCAGCUCUGCUCUCCGAGCAUUCUGCUUCCAACACGACUUCCCGAAAGAAAAUGUGCUCGCGCAUUAGAAGGAGGUGAAAGAUGCACCUGCAGGAGAAUACAUGCUUAAGAGAAGGCAGAAACAUGCCCGGAUCCACCAGAACUAGUGCUGGCAAGUCAACAGAGGCGAGUACUGAUAAUGUUCCAGAUUGUGGUAGGAUCACAUAAGCAAAAUU